UUGGAGGGCAAGUCUGGUGCCAGCAGCCGCGGUAAUUCCAGCUCCAAUAGCGUAUAUUAAAGUUGUUGCAGUUAAAAAGCUCGUAGUUGAAUUUCGGGGUUAGUAGGCUGGUCAUGCCUCUGGUAUGUACUGGUCUCACUGAUUCCUCCUUCCUGAUGAACCGUAAUGCCAUUAAUUUGGUGUUGCGGGGAAUUUGGACUGUUACUUUGAAAAAAUUAGAGUGUUUAAAGCAAGCUAACGCUUGAAUACAUUAGCAUGGAAUAAUGAAAUAGGACGUUCGAUCCUAUUUUGUUGGUUUCUAGGAUUGACGUAAUGAUUAAUAGGGAUAGUUGGGGGCAUUAGUAUUCAAUUGUCAGAGGUGAAAUUCUUGGAUUUAUUGAAGACUAACUACUGCGAAAGCAUUUGCCAAGGAUGUUUUCAUUAAUCAAGAACGAAAGUUAGGGGAUCGAAGACGACCAGAUACCGUCGUAGUCUUAACCAUAAACUAUGCCGACUAGGGAUCGGAUGAUGUUAAUUUUUUAAUGACUCAUUCGGCGCCUUACGGGAAAC
rnacentral:rRNA from 1 species